rnacentral:piRNA from 1 species
UGCCAUGGAAGGUAGCCUGGUGCUCUGA